GACGAACGCUGGCGGCGUGCUUAACACAUGCAAGUCGAACGGAAAGGCCCUGCUUUUGUGUGUUGCUCGAGUGGCGAACGGGUGAGUAACACGUGUGUAUCCUGCCCUUGACUUUGGGAUAACUUCAGGAAACUGGGGCUAAUACCGCGUAGGAUCUCCUGCUGCAUGGUGUGGGUUGGAAAGUUGCGGCGGUUGGGGAUGGACUCGCUGCUUAUCCGCUUGUUGGGGAGGUAGUGGCUUACCAAGGCUUUGACGGGUAGCCGGCAUGAGAGGGUGACCGGCCACAGGGGGACUGAGAGACGGCGCAGACGCGUACGGGAGGCAGCAGGCGGGAAUAUGGCACAACGGGCGGAAGCCUGAGGCAGCAACGCCGCGUGCGGGAAGACGGGUUACGGGUGGUAAACAGCUGUCGCAGGUGACGAAGCGAGAGUGACGGUAAUGGGUAAAGAAGCACCGGCUAACUACGUG
rnacentral:rRNA from 1 species